ACGUCGACCGGCGCACGGGUGAGUAACGCGUAUCCAACCUGCCCAUAAGUAGGGUAUAACCCGCAGAAAUGCGGACUAAUCCCCUAUGUUGUUCAAAGACGGCAUCAGAUUUGAACCAAAGGCUUGCCGCUUAUGGAUGGGGAUGCGUCCGAUUAGCUUGUUGGUGAGGUAACGGCUCACCAAGGCUUCGAUCGGUAGGGGUUCUGAGAGGAAGGCCCCCCACAUAGGAACUGAGACACGGUCCUAACUCC
rnacentral:rRNA from 1 species